rnacentral:rRNA from 1 species
CGAACGGGUGAGUAAUACAUCGGAACGUGCCCAAUCGUGGGGGAUAACGCAGCGAAAGCUGUGCUAAUACCGCAUACGAUCUACGGAUGAAAGCAGGGGAUCGCAAGACCUUGCGCGAAUGGAGCGGCCGAUGGCAGAUUAGGUAGUUGGUGAGGUAAAGGCUCACCAAGCCUUCGAUCUGUAGCUGGUCUGAGAGGACGACCAGCCACACUGGGACUGAGACACGGCCCAGACUCCUACGGGAGGCAGCAGUGGGGAAUUUUGGACAAUGGGCGAAAGCCUGAUCCAGCCAUGCCGCGUGCAGGAUGAAGGCCUUCGGGUUGUAAACUGCUUUUGUACGGAACGAAACGGCCUUUUCUAAUAAAGAGGGCUAAUGACGGUACCGUAAGAAUAAGCACCGGCUAACUACGUGCCAGCAGCCGCGGUAAUACGUAGGGUGCAAGCGUUAAUCGGAAUUACUGGGCGUAAAGCGUGCGCAGGCGGUUAUGUAAGACAGUUGUGAAAUCCCCGGGCUCAACCUGGGAACUGCAUCUGUGACUGCAUAGCUAGAGUACGGUAGAGGGGGAUGGAAUUCCGCGUGUAGCAGUGAAAUGCGUAGAUAUGCGGAGGAACACCGAUGGCGAAGGCAAUCCCCUGGACCUGUACUGACGCUCAUGCACGAAAG